UCGCCGCCUCUCUCUCUCUCUCUCUCUCUCUCUCUCUCCUCUCCUUCUCAGUCGCUGUGUUCCGAUCCAAUGGCACCGAAGAAGGACAAGGCACCGCCACCGUCGUCGAAGCCGGCAAAG